AAGACAAGAGAGAAGUACAGUAAAAUGUAUACAACCUUUUAUCAUAUAUGCUAAUAAAUCUUUUAUAUUAAAUAAUUGUAAUUUAUAUCAAGCAUUUGUGCUAGGUUUGUGUUGUGCUAGCUUGGUCUACAUUGUGUCCUAAACUAUUUUGGUCCUUUGAACUUGAGCUUGAUCAACCCAAAUUUUGAACUAGGGUGACUCAUAUCUUAGCUAAUAAUGGGAAGGCCAACCUGAAGGCUUUGGUAUGACUUGGGUCUGUCUCCAACCAUAGUUUCACAUAAAGAAAGCUUCUUUCAGAUGGGUUGUUGAGAUUAACUAAAACCAUGGAUUUAAGUGCUACUAGCACGUAGCAUCCUAGCUAGUGCUAGUAUAGAGCAUACGGUGCUAACUAAGAUCCGCAAUCUCGAUACCGGAUACCAUUUCGGUACCUUAUUGGUUUGAUAUGGUACUGUAGGUAAGGCAUGGUAUGUACUCCGUACUAAAAUAACUCACUAAUUAUUUUUCUCACUUUUUAUCUCGGUAUGCCUUGAUAUGGGUCGGUACACCUCAAUACAGGUUGGUACGCCGAGGUAUGGGUCAAUACACCUUGGCACAGGGUGGUGCGUCUCAGUAUAGGAUGGUACGAGACUUGUACCAGCCUGAACUUGAGUUUUGUACUGGUUUCCACCUAGUACAAUACGGUACACUCCGUAUCAGGUAGUAUGGGCUAGUAUGACAGAUCAGGGUGCCAACACAUGUUGUGUUUUGCUAGAACCUCAUGCUUUGCACUAGGUCAAUAUUGAGUAGCACUAACCACGUGAUGUGUUCUGGUAUUGGCCUAGCAAGGUGUGUGCUUCCCUGCAUAAACUUGUACGAUCCAGCAAUUGAAACACUGAAUAGUUUCUUUUGAAUGAAACACUAUAUUUUUUCUUAUUUUCAGGGAAAAACAUUGUAUAAAUUGAAAUGUUUUUUGAAAUGAUGUCAUUGUGCUGAUAGAUUUACAGCCAUUAAUUUUCCUUGUCGUGGUCUAAAAAAAAAAGGCUUAUUAUGUCCACAUUGCUUAAUUGUUAGCAUGAUUCAUAUAUGGUUCCUUAUUGUGCCAAGAAUAGAAACAAAAUUGAAUGUAAGAAGCGACCUUGUAAA
rnacentral:lncRNA from 1 species